UACUGUUUUUCUUGCUGCUUUGCACGCCGUAGAAGCUAGCGACCAAUUAAACUUUCUGGGCAACCUGAGAAGUGUCGUCUUCUCCUCUGCCAUUCCCGGCUCCACGGUGAUGAGUGCCUCCAUGGUCAGUUGAGUCAUCGGAACAGCCCUUCGACGCCGAAGCACCCCGUCAUCAAACAUCUCCAAGUGGAUCGUUCUCUCUGUUCUUCGUCCAGGCCGUCCCACUGCCGUUCCAGGUUCCUGAACACGAGGAAGAAAUCGUUGUGGAAGACGAGGUUAUCUCCCAGACUGAACAUCCUCCAGCAGAAACCAACUUUUACUUCGACCUCUGCGGUGUGGAACCAGAACCUCCUACAACACAAGGCAAGCCCCGGUGCAUUAUCCCU